rnacentral:rRNA from 1 species
UCCUGGCUCAGAGUGAACGCUGGCGGCGUGCUUAACACAUGCAAGUCGAACGAGAACGGGUUAUAGCUUGCUAUAAUUGUCAGCUAAGUGGCNCACGGGUGAGUAAUGUAUAGGUAAUAUGCCUCUUACUAAGGGAUAACAAAUGGAAACGUUUGCUAAUACCUUAUACUCCUUAUUAACAGAAGUUAAUAAGGGAAAGAUUUAUUGGUAAGAGAUUAGCCUGUAUUGUAUCAGUUAGUUGGUGGGGUAAUGGCUUACCAAGACUAUGACACAUAACUGGUUUGAGAGGAUGAUCAGUCACACUGGAACUGAGACACGGUCCAGACUCCUACGGGAGGCAGCAGUGGGAAUAUUGCACAAUGGACGAAAGUCUGAUGCAGCAACGCCGCGUGGAGGAUGACACAUUUCGGUGCGUAAACUCCUUUUAUAUGAGAAGAUAAUGACGGUAUUAUAUGAAUAAGCACCGGCUAACUCCGUG